GUAUUGGACUACCAUGGCAGUCACGGGUAACGGAGAAUUAGGGUUCGAUUCCGGAGAGGGAGCCUGAGAAACGGCUACCACAUCUACGGAAGGCAGCAGGCGCGUAAAAUUACCCAAUCCUGAUUCAGGGAGGUAGUGACAAGAAAUAACAACUCGGGGCCUCACGGCUUACGAGAUUGCAAUGAGAACAAUUUAAAUCUCUUAGCGAGGAACAAUUGGAGGGCAAGUCUGGUGCCAGCAGCCGCGGUAAUUCCAGCUCCAAUAGCGUAUAUUAAAGUUGUUGCAGUUAAAAAGCUCGUAGUUGAAUUUCUGAUUAUGGAUGUAGCGGUUUCCGUUACAUUUGUAGUCAUCCACAUGAGAACCUUUCUCGGCCUUCACUGGUCGGUUGGGGGAUCAUGUACUUUACUUUGUAAAAAAUCAGAGUGUUUCUAGGCAGGCGUUUGCAUGAAUACACAAGCAUGG
rnacentral:rRNA from 1 species